rnacentral:rRNA from 1 species
AGCGGAGUGGCCCUUCGGGGUACUCGAGCGGCGAACGGGUGAGUAACACGUGAGCAACCUGCCCCAAGCUUUGGGAUAACCCUCGGAAACGGGGGCUAAUACCGAAUAUUACUUCUGGCCGCAUGGCUGGUGGUGGAAAGUUUUUCGGCUUGGGAUGGGCUCGCGGCCUAUCAGCUUGUUGGUGGGGUGAUGGCCUACCAAGGCGACGACGGGUAGCCGGCCUGAGAGGGCGACCGGCCACACUGGGACUGAGACACGGCCCAGACUCCUACGGGAGGCAGCAGUGGGGAAUAUUGCACAAUGGGCGGAAGCCUGAUGCAGCGACGCCGCGUGAGGGAUGACGGCCUUCGGGUUGUAAACCUCUUUCAGCAGGGACGAAGCGAGAGUGACGGUACCUGCAGAAGAAGCACCGGCCAACUACGUGCCAGCAGCCGCGGUAAGACGUAGGGUGCGAGCGUUGUCCGGAUUUAUUGGGCGUAAAGAGCUCGUAGGCGGCUUGUCGCGUCGACCGUGAAAACUUGGGGCUCAACCCCAAGCCUGCGGUCGAUACGGGCAGGCUAGAGUUCGGUAGGGGAGACUGGAAUUCCUGGUGUAGCGGUGAAAUGCGCAGAUAUCAGGAGGAACACCGGUGGCGAAGGCGGGUCUCUGGGCCGAUACUGACGCUGAGGAG